rnacentral:lncRNA from 1 species
GGCUGUCUACUUUUGUCAUCCUAAAUUCACAAUUCUUAGUAAAAAAUGCUUUUUACUUGAUUAAAAUAUAUUUUAAUUUUAUUUAUGCAUCUUUUCAUAUUUAAUAUAUGAAAAUAUAUGAAAAAUAGAAACCAAAAUGCGACGGUGGCGAUUGAUUAUUUAAGGAGUGUUGAAGUGGAUGGUGAGGAUUUUGUCGUGGAAUUGCAUUUAAUGCUGCACGUG